CAGCCUCAGCGGCAGCCGAGGACGUCUCGCCUGUGGCUGAUGCCGCCUCCUGGAACCCCGCCACGCUCUCCUCCCCGGCUUCAUGCGCUUCUCCGGGUAGCUGCUGAUCCUGCUCCGCUGGCGCCGAUCCUCCCUGUUAGUAUUUAUUUAAAAAUGAUGCCAUGCAUACAACAAAUAUUAUAUGAAAGAGAUUUACUGGAUGGAGGUAAAGAAUGGAAGAGGAAAAGGAAAGAGACAUGGUGGGAGCUCCCAGGAAAGAAAGAGAGGUGGAGAGAGCAAGAGAGAAGAGUAAGAGAGGAAGUGUUUAUCACGAAUCACAAAAGUUAAAGAAAGAAUACACGUCUCUGGCAAGAAAACAAGAUUUAAUGUUUCCUAUGAAGCAUACUGUCUAAUAUGGAUUCUGAUGUACCCUGGAACAUUCCAGAUGAGGACAAGCAUUCAUGGUAAUUGGACUGGAGAAUUCGAUACUACGAUGGAGCAGCUGAGAGUGACCAUUAUCACAGUAAAUUCUACCAGAGUGGACGCAGGACUAGCCACAGGAUUAUCACCAUGGAUUGCUGCAGCCAUGAAUCAUCUGAAGGAAUGGGCGGGCAUGGGAGCGUUAGCAGGCCUUCUGGUGUUGGUCUCCUUGGUUUGCCUGUGGUGUAUAUGCAAGAUUAGAGUCUCACAACAGCGUAAUGCAGCCAUGAUCAUUCAGGCCUUUACAGCCAUUGAAGCAGGACAGUCUCCCCAAGCAUGGUUGGCUACCAUAAAAAGCUAAAAUGUUAUGCUCAGGAUGCGAGGCUAAGCACUGCACUCAGGGUCAGCCGCUUUGGACCCAGAGAAGAGCAUGUCUGAUUGCAUGCGGGUUGAUGCCCCAGGUCUCGCCUCUGAGAAAAAGGUAUCAGAGGGGUCUGAUGCUCUUUGGGUGGAUGACACCUAAAUGAACAUCAGUACAAAGUCCCAAUUUAUUUCUAAUAUCAGAGAUCAGACCUCUACUCUUGCCUGAUGCGUCUAAAACAAAAAGGGGGAACUGUAGAGAGCUGCGUAAUGCCUCGCCUUAAAGAUGGAGCUGGUUUCCGCCUUCCACCUUCCAGAUGGUGAGUGCUCUCUGUCACAAACAACUCCACAUUUGGCUAAGGCUGAGGAUCUGGCUUGCUUUCAUGUAUGUGGACCUAUCUGCAUUGCCCACGUGGCACCCUGGGGUUGGCUACCCAGAGGCUAUUUAAGGUGUGGGCUGGCUUUCCCCAGGGUCAGAUGAUUGUUCAAGGUCCCUGAAUAAACU